GCCAAAUGCCGAAAAAAAAACUUUAAACUUCGGGCAGCCUGAUAAAGUUGCCAGCAAUGGAAAUUCGUUCAGUUUUCAGUUUCAUUUCUUUUACAUUUCAAUGUUUCUCGAAAAAAGUACCUCAAACAACUUGGACCAAUUUUCAUACUGUCUACACAGAAAUUUCGAGCGAGAAAUGAACUUUCAAAAUUCCCAUUAUGCAAACUCAAAUCAAUUAUUAUAGUUUUAUUUUCCGUGCAAUUUACACUCAACUCCCUUCAAUCGCAUUCUGGAUGAGAAAUACGCACAAAGAAGCGAGAGACCAAUGAUGUGCCGGUGAAAUAUUUAAAAAUGGACGUUUGUGGCGAUUGAAAUAAUCUCAUUCGAGAUUCAUUCGAGAAAAGAAUUGGAGAAUUCUCUUCGUUAAUUUCGUGAGCGUUUUAACUUCGGUUCCGAAUUCUGCAGAAUAUCAUAACUAAGGAAUAGUUUUCCUUAUACAGAAAAUAUCUCCGGGAACGGAGCGAUUUCCCGUUUUCGUUGCAGAGGCUUCGAAAAACAGUCUUGACUGAACGACAAGAAUCUUGAAUUGUAUAAUCAACAAAAAAUCGUAGAAAUAUUGUUUUUUUAAAUCAAUAAUUGUUCCUACGCGAGACGACUACGUGUUUUGAAAAAUGACGUUUUUCAGCAAGUAUCGAAAGUGUUAAAAGUAUUGCAAAGAUUUUGCAAUUUAUCGAACACGAAUUCCUUCAAAUUUUUGUUAUCGUGACACUCGUAAACUUCCUAUUUCUAUCUUGCUAAUGUGUGAUUCGAAACGGAGAUGUUUUUCAAUUCCUCGAUCAUACGACUCUUCAACAAAUGACACUUGGAAGAUUUUUUUUCAAAUUCGAACCAUCCCUUCGUAUUUUUGAAAGUAUAUACUUUCAAUAUCGCAACGGCCGUAUGCGUUUAUAAAUAUAUAAAUGUGUGAUGUAUAAAUGUAACGUAUGAACUUAAGCUUGCAUAAAGUAAAUACAUGUGUACAGUUAUAAAUAUAUAUUGUUAUACGAUCUAUGUAACCUAUUUGUUCAAUAUAUUUAUUUAUUAACAUCGCUGAAAUCGUCUUCAGCCAACGACGCAAUUACGAGACCUUCGCUCCUUAUUUCUCGUUUUUCCCUUUUUUUAAACUUUCACUUUUGACUAAGAGACCGGAUUAAAUGACAGAAAAGCGGAGACCGUUCGCCAAAUAAGUACAGCAAUGUUGCCACCGGUGAACAUGUGGAGCAAGGUGUUCUCCUGAUGCGUUACGGAAAAACCGUAUGCUUCGCCGACGACGACCUGAAACGAAGUGAGAUCACAGGACAAAAUGGAUCGAAGCGAACCUUGCAGCGGUGCUGAAUUUGCGAGAGUAUGCCUGUGUCCAGCCUCCGUAAGAAGAUCUAUAAUGAGAGUAGCGAAUUCUUUGGGUGUGAAACGCGCAAGUUUUUGUCUCCCCUGAUUCCUCGUGGAGGAUAACUGAGGAUUAACGGGCAGAAACGGAACCGUGCAUCUCUCCGGUAACGUUGCACUUGACAACCAGACUAUGGAAAAAAAAAACAUUGACGUUAAAUUUUGUCACGGUAUUUCAUGAAAUUUUUGAAUCUACGUCUAAUGACGGAACAUGAAUUCUAGAAGUGUAGCUAAUGAAUUAUCCAGAGUAUUCCCGUAAAUAUCUCCGACGGAUCAUGCAUAAA
rnacentral:lncRNA from 1 species